AUAAAGUGGAAUUACGUUUUUUCAAACCACGUCUACAGAAAGGAUGCCUCGGGUGCGUGUGAGGCCGCUUGUGGUGGUGGUGGUGACGGCGUGGUGUCUGUUGCACGUUGCAGCCCAAGAUCCCGACGCAGCGACCUCGGGCAUGAGCAACGAAGGAGGCCCCCGCCCACGGCGCCCUCGGCAGAAGGAGGGGCGGCG